GGAGACUCUAAGACUUCUGAAGAGUUUCUUGCUUCUUUCCUGUGGGGCAGUGACUCCACUUCCCAGCAGUAAUGGAAUAUCCUGAAUUAGCUACAUUAAUGUUAGAACCAUUUGGACCUCACCCAGGACUUCAACUACAUUAUGGAUGUUAUAAGAAAUGAGACUCACUACUGAAUUCACAGCAGGCAUGGUUGAAGGCACCAUUCACUAUAGCUUGCAGUGUUCCCUUUAUGAGAUUUGUAUGAGAAAUUCCUCUCAUAGGUCAAGUUCUUGGGAGAAAAUUCUCCCAAAGAGCAAGUCCCAGGAAAAUCUUGGCUGAGUAACUCCUGGACGAUUGGCACAGAAGAAGGCACAAGGCAAAUACCCAUCUCUGUACACCCUGUGCUACUGUGUCAUGUGCUGCUCCAGGCAACUCCAAUGGAUUGGCCACCCUGGCCAAUGUGCCCUCCAAACACCAGCACUGAGUAGAAAGAGGCUCUGAUUCAUGAAAUGUGAAUUUAUGACAGUUGCCACUCUUAAAAAAAAAAACAAACAGACAGAACUUGAGCAAUACAUGACUGAUGCAUUCUCAGCCUGCUUCCUGUGUUCCAUCUGUCUUUCUGCCAGUGCAUUCACCCUCCAGGUUCUAGUAUGUUACGUUUAUGUUCCCCUGCUUUCUACAAUCCUGUUCAAAGAGUUGCUGACUUAACCACAGAGAGGAUUCCAGAACCUGAGACACAGAAUAAACUUGAGCAAUCAUAGUCCAUCCACUUCAUUGUCUCAUCAAAAACCAAAGGUCCAGUGAAGCUCUGGAACUCAACGCUGUAAAGGAG
rnacentral:lncRNA from 1 species